rnacentral:rRNA from 1 species
GAUGAACGCUAGCGGCAGGCCUAACACAUGCAAGUCGAGGGGGAGGUUACUUUCGGGUAACUGAGACCGGCGUACGGGUGCGUAACGCGUAUACAAUCUGCCUUUCACUGGGGGAUAGCCCGAAGAAAUUUGGAUUAAUACCCCAUAGUAUAGUAAUACGGCAUCGUGAUGCUAUUAAAGCUUAGGUGGUGAAAGAUGAGUAUGCGUUCUAUUAGCUAGUUGGAGAGGUAACGGCUCCCCAAGGCGAUGAUAGAUAGGGGUUCUGAGAGGGAUGUCCCCCACACUGGUACUGAGAUACGGACCAGACUCCUACGGGAGGCAGCAGUGAGGAAUAUUGAACAAUGGUCGGAAGACUGAUCCAGCCAUGCCGCGUGCAGGAUGAAGGUCUUAUGGAUUGUAAACUGCUUUUGUAAGGGAAGAAUAAGGGCUACGCGUAGUUUGAUGACGGUACCUUACGAAUAAGCAUCGGCUAACUCCGUG